rnacentral:rRNA from 1 species
GGGACACGUGGUAUCCUGUCUGAAUAUGGGGGGACCAUCCUCCAAGGCUAAAUACUCCUGACUGACCGAUAGUGAACCAGUACCGUGAGGGAAAGGCGAAAAGAACCCCGGCGAGGGGAGUGAAAAAGAACCUGAAACCGUGUACGUACAAGCAGUGGGAGCCUCUUAAUGGGGUGACUGCGUACCUUUUGUAUAAUGGGUCAGCGACUUAUAUUCUGUAGCAAGGUUAACCGAAUAGGGGAGCCGAAGGGAAACCGAGUCUUAACUGGGCGUUAAGUUGCAGGGUAUAGACCCGAAACCCGGUGAUCUAGCCAUGGGCAGGUUGAAGGUUGGGUAACACUAACUGGAGGACCGAACCGACUAAUGUUGAAAAAUUAGCGGAUGACUUGUGGCUGGGGGUGAAAGGCCAAUCAAACCGGGAGAUAGCUGGUUCUCCCCGAAAGCUAUUUAGGUAGCGCCUCGUGAAUUCAUCUCCGGGGGUAGAGCACUGUUUCGGCAAGGGGGUCAUCCCGACUUACCAACCCGAUGCAAACUGCGAAUACCGGAGAAUGUUAUCACGGGAGACACACGGCGGGUGCUAACGUCCGUCGUGAAGAGGGAAACAACCCAGACCGCCAGCUAAGGUCCCAAAGUCAUGGUUAAGUGGGAAACGAUGUGGGAAGGCCCAGACAGCCAGGAUGUUGGCUUAGAAGCAGCCAUCAUUUAAAGAAAGCGUAAUAGCUCACUGGUCGAGUCGGCCUGCGCGGAAGAUGUAACGGGGCUAAACCAUGCACCGAAGCUGCGGCAGCGACACUAUGUGUUGUUGGGUAGGGGAGCGUUCUGUAAGCCUGUGAAGGUGGCCUGUGAGGGUUGCUGGAGGUAUCAGAAGUGCGAAUGCUGACAUAAGUAACGAUAAAGCGGGUGAAAAGCCCGCUCGCCGGAAGACCAAGGGUUCCUGUCCAACGUUAAUCGGGGCAGGGUGAGUCGACCCCUAAGGCGAGGCCGAAAGGCGUAGUCGAUGGGAAACAGGUUAAUAUUCCUGUACUUGGUGUUACUGCGAAGGGGGGACGGAGAAGGCUAUGUUGGCCGGGCGACGGUUGUCCCGGUUUAAGCGUGUAGGCUGGUUUUCCAGGCAAAUCCGGAAAACCAAGGCUGAGGCGUGAUGACGAGGCACUACGGUGCUGAAGUGACAAAUGCCCUGCUUCCAGGAAAAGCCUCUAAGCAUCAGGUAACAUCAAAUCGUACCCCAAACCGACACAGGUGGUCAGGUAGAGAAUACCAAGGCGCUUGAGAGAACUCGGGUGAAGGAACUAGGCAAAAUGGUGCCGUAACUUCGGGAGAAGGCACGCUGAUAUGUAGGUGAAGCGACUUGCUCGUGGAGCUGAAAUCAGUCGAAGAUACCAGCUGGCUGCAACUGUUUAUUAAAAACACAGCACUGUGCAAACACGAAAGUGGACGUAUACGGUGUGACGCCUGCCCGGUGCCGGAAGGUUAAUUGAUGGGGUUAGCGGUAACGCGAAGCUCUUGAUCGAAGCCCCGGUAAACGGCGGCCGUAACUAUAACGGUCCUAAGGUAGCGAAAUUCCUUGUCGGGUAAGUUCCGACCUGCACGAAUGGCGUAAUGAUGGCCAGGCUGUCUCCACCCGAGACUCAGUGAAAUUGAACUCGCUGUGAAGAUGCAGUGUACCCGCGGCAAGACGGAAAGACCCCGUGAACCUUUACUAUAGCUUGACACUGAACAUUGAGCCUUGAUGUGUAGGAUAGGUGGGAGGCUUUGAAGUGUGGACGCCAGUCUGCAUGGAGCCGACCUUGAAAUACCACCCUUUAAUGU